rnacentral:rRNA from 1 species
AGGAGAAGUCGUAACAAGGUUUCCGUAGGUGAACCAGCGGAAGGAUC